rnacentral:rRNA from 1 species
GACGAACGCUGGCGGCGUGCUUAACACGUGCAAGUCGAACGGAGUUCCUUGGAUAGAGGCUUCGGCCAAUUGAAUUGGAACUUAGUGGCGGACUGGUGAGUAACGCGUGAGGAACCUGCCUUUCAGAGGGGGACAACAGUUGGAAACGACUGCUAAUACCGCAUGACACAUUCGGGCGGCAUCGCUUGAAUGUCAAAGAUUUUAUCGCUGAAAGAUGGCCUCGCGUCUGAUUAGCUAGUUGGUAGGGUAACGGCCUACCAAGGCGACGAGCAGUAGCCGGACUGAGAGGUUGACCGGCCACAUUGGGACUGAGCUACGGCCCAGACUCCUACGGGAGGCAGCAGUGGGGAAUAUUGGGCAAUGGACGCAAGUCUGACCCAGCAACGCCGCGUGAAGGAAGAAGGCUUUCGGGUUGUAAACUUCUUUUAAGUGGGAAGAGUAGAAGACGGUACCACUUGAAUAAGCCACGGCUAACUACGUGCCAGCAGCCGCGGUAAAAC